AAGAUACGCAUCCAUUAGUCUGCACCUAUAUAUAUUCAAUUCGAACACUGAAACCCAUAAAAUAGAGACACUAUAGCCACUGACACCUAUUUUACUCUUUUUAUACCAAACUAAAGCAAAACAAACCAGACAACAGCAUAAGGCAUGGCUACCAUCAAAUUUUAGUGAAUGCUACAACUGCAGGGACAGUAGUCCACAAAGUUCAGUCAGUCCCAUAAUCAAAUUCAUAAUUGGUUUGAAUUUGAAAGUAUAAUCCAGCAGACCAGCUUCAAUUCCAAACACAGCUAAAUGAUGGCAUAUAAUUUAGCUGAUAAAGGGGCUGCUUCAAAGGGAAAACUAGAAUAUUCUAGCAAACAGGCCAACCGUCUUAGCAGUGACACCAUCAGUAGGUUUCUCCAACAAACUUAUACCAAGAAAUUCUUAGUACACACAUAUGCUCAUAGAUACAUACACACAUUGAUUCACAUAUGCAUGCAUUCAUACAUAUUUACAUAUCUACACACAUACAAAUACACAUAAUAAGGCAUGUUGUGUCUGAAAAAUAGAUAGUUUUGCAUAAAAAAACUGUCUCUAUUAUGAGCAUGGAAAAAGUGAGAAUAAUCUAUAUAGUUGGGCCAACAAUUUCAUUACUAGUCUGCUCAGCAUUUGGUUAAA